AGCAGUGGGGAAUAUUGGGCAAUGGGCGCAAGCCUGACCCAGCAACGCCGCGUGAGGGAAGAAGGUUUUCGGAUUGUAAACCUCUGUCGCAGGGGACGAAGGAAGUGACGGUACCCUGUAAGAAAGCCCCGGCUAACUACGUGCCAGCAGCCGCGGUAAUACGUAGGGGGCGAGCGUUAUCCGGAUUUAUUGGGCGUAAAGCGUGUGUAGGCGGUUUAUUAAGUUUAAGAUUAAAGCCCGGGGCUCAACUCCGGUAAGUCUUAAAAACUGGUAGACUUGAGUACGGUAGAGGCAAACGGAAUUUCUAGUGUAGCGGUGAAAUGCGUAGAUAUUAGAAGGAACACCAGUGGCGAAAGCGGUUUGCUGGGCCGUUACUGACGCUGAGGCACGAAAGCGUGGGGAGCAAAUAGGAUUAGAUACCCUAGUAGUCCACGCCGUAAACGAUGAGUACUAAGUGUUGGGGUUACCCAGUGCUGAAGCUAACGUAUUAAGUACUCCGCCUGAGUAGUACGGUCGCAAGGCUGAAACUCAAAGGAAUUGACGGGCACCCGCACAAGCGGUGGAGCAUGCUGUUUAAUUCGACGAUACGCGAAGAACCUUACCUAGACUUGACAUCCCUGGCAAAGCUAUAGAAAUAUAGUGGAGGUUACCCAGGUGACAGGUGGUGCAUGGUUGUCGUCAGCUCGUGUCGUGAGAUGUUCGGUUAAGUCCGCUAACGAGCGCAACCCUUAUCCUUAGUUGCUAACAUUAAGUUGAGAACCCUAAGGAGACUGCCGGUGACAAACCGGAGGAAGGUGGGGAUGACGUCAAAUCAUCAUGCCCCUUACGUCUAGGGCUACAGGCGUGCUAUAAUGGCCGAUACAAUAAGAAGCAAUACUGUGAAGUGGAGCAAAUCUGUAAAGUCGGUCUCAGUUCGGAUUGAAGUCUGCAACUCGACUUCAUGAAGCUAGAAUCGCUAGUAAUCCCAAAUCAGAAUGUUGGGGUGAAUACGUUCCCGGGUGUUGUACACACCGCCCGUCAUGCCAUGAAAGUUUGUAAUACCCGAAUGUGGUAGCCUAACCUUUUAGGAGGGGGCCAUUUAAGGUAGGACAAGUGAUUGGGGUAAAGUCGUAACAAGGUAUCCCUACGAGAACGUGGGGAUG
rnacentral:rRNA from 1 species